GUAGGGGGCAAGCGUUGUCCGGAUUUAUUGGGCGUAAAGAGCGUGUAGGCGGCCAUACAGGUCAGCUGUGAAAACUCGAGGCUCAACCUCGAGACGUCGGUUGAAACCGUAUGGCUAGAGUCCGGAAGAGGAGAGUGGAAUUCCCGGUGUAGCGGUGAAAUGCGCAGAUAUCGGGAAGAACACCUAUGGCGAAGGCAGCUCUCUGGGACGGUACUGACGCUGAGACGCGAAAGCGUGGGGGGCGAACAGGAUUAGAUACCCUGGUAGUCCACGCCGUAAACGAUGGGAACUAGGUGUGGCGGGUGUCGACUCCCGCUGUGCCGAAGCUAACGCAUUAAGUUCCCCGCCUGGGGAGUACGGCCGCAAGGCUA
rnacentral:rRNA from 1 species